rnacentral:rRNA from 1 species
UACGAAGGGGGCUAGCGUUGUUCGGAAUUACUGGGCGUAAAGCGCACGUAGGCGGAUUCUUAAGUCUGGGGUGAAAGCCCGGAGCUCAACUCCGGAACUGCCUUGGAUACUGGGAGUCUCGAGGAUGGAAGAGGUCAGUGGAAUGCCGAGUGUAGAGGUGAAAUUCGUAGAUAUUCGGCGGAACUCCAGUGGCGAAGGCGACUGGCUGGUCCAUUUCUGACGCUGAGGUGCGAAAGUGUGGGGAGGAAACAGG